rnacentral:rRNA from 1 species
UACGUAGGGGGCUAGCGUUGUCCGGAUUUAUUGGGCGUAAAGAGCGUGUAGGCGCCAGGUAGGUCUGCUGUGAAAACUCGAGGCUCAACCUCGAGACGUCGGCGGAAACCAUCUGGCUAGAGUCCGGAAGAGGAGAGUGGAAUUCCUGGUGUAGCGGUGAAUGCGCAGAUAUCAGGAAGAACACCCGUGGCGAAGGCGGCUCUCUGGCCGAUACUGACGCUGAGGAGCGAAAGCGUGGGAGCGAACAGG